AGUUUAGUUCAUGCUUUAUUAUUUAGGCCUGUAAAAUUUAGUACAUAUAAACAACAGACUCUCUUCUUUAUUGCUUUGUGCUUUUAGUUUUAAAGUUAACAAUCUCUCAGCUUGACAUCCUAGCUUUCGUUUUUGUUUGCAUUUACAGAAUAUUUAUUUAUGGCCCACCUUGAGCUCUCUAUUAGGUUGUAUUUGCUAUUUGGUUUCAAGUAUUUUCCCAAGAACUUUUUCAGAUGGGGUAUAAGGCAGAUAUAUUUUUCCAAAUAAUUGUAUAUUCAGACUUUCUUUUACUUCAAAAGGCAGUCAACAUUUCUCAUAUACGGUCUUGGAUGCUGUUCCAGUGUCUUGUAAAGAAAUCCCUUCAAACCUCUAGAAUUAGGAUAUUUUGAUCUCUUAAUUUUCUCUACCUGCACCCCAAAUGUUGGCAGUUCUAAGCAUGGAGAAAGGAAGAAUGAUUUAUCCUUCCACGGGCCACCAGCAUAGAAGCAGGGAGUAUCUAUACAUCACCCCCCAAGACUCCUGGAUGAAGCCUCUUUCCCAUUCACCUGUCCUUUUGUCUCUCCCAUUCAGGAACAGGUAGGUCUCUGCCCCUAUGCAGCCAUUGCUUCACCUUUAGGAGGCCAGGGAGACCAAGCCUGCUCCUGCAGAGCUGAUGUUGACAGCUUCCCAGGGUUCUUCACACCUCUGCGUCUUAGUACUUCCCCGGAUCCUCCGAUGUACGUAGUCUUGGCUGCCAGGGUCUCCAGGGUUGGUGAUAUCUAGAUUAUUGUCCAGCCUAUGGAGAGGAGAGUUCAUGCCCAUUUCUCUGCAAGUCUUUUCACAGAACCUAAAACCUCACCAAAUCUCAUUCAGAGGCCAGGUCACUGCUGCCAUUUGACACAGGAGACGAGCCUGAUUGUCUCCCAUGAAUAAAGCUUUGUGGGUGCUGUUUAAAACUAUGGGUCUCUUUUGUCUUCAGCAGAAACGGUUUUUCAUUGUUUUCGUAUACUUCUAAGACGUUAAAAAUACUUGAAUAUUUACACUAAUUUUCAAACUUCUUUAGGUUUUGUAUUAGCACUCUCCACAAAAAUAACAUAUGUAUAUAGUAUAUAUAACAUUAUAUAUCUUAGAUGAAACUAUAUAGAUAGAACAAAAAAUGUGUUCUAGACUAAAUUUGUCCUCUGAACAAAUUUUCCACCAGCUCUAGUCAUUGCUGCAUUAGGGAUUCUUGUCAUCUAAGGACUGGGUUUUACUACAUGAAGAUGCUCCUGUUGACAUAAACUGCUCAAUGCAAACGUUUACCUGCAUGUCAACGCGCAGCCUACCCAACUCAAACAACUCUUCAUGGCCACGAGGUUACAACAGACACUUUGGCCGGGGACCCACUUAUUUUCUGAGAUUGUUUCACUAUGGUCCUGGGGCAGCGAGCUCCCGUGGGGUGAAAGGCGCCCUCUGCAGUACCGGAUGCGGCAGCGGCUCAGAAGGGCUGUGCAGGGGAUCGCUGGUUAAUUGAUCAGAGCCAGUUUUCUUUAUCAAUGCUGGGAACGCGGGGGUGAGGUGAGUCAGUCCCAGCUUGUACUCUGGUUUCUGAGCUGUGGAAUCCAACAGGAAGAUCCCUUUCCCACCAGCUAAGCACAGACCUGAGAUUUCCCCUGCUUGACUUCCAGCCGGGUCUUCACCGUGCUGUGCCAGCUGCCUCAGGCUGUGGUCCUUGUUAUUUAUUUGUUUUUGUUUUUUUUUCAUCAGCUUGGUUCUUUUCUAUGAAAUGUUUUUGCUCAUUGUUGAAAACUUAAAGGCAAAAACCAAACCCAUCUUCCAGUUGUGGGAUAAAGCAUCUUCAUCGUCUGAUUCCAUUAUUUCUCAAGUGUGCUACGCGAUUGUGUUCCUGUUAGCUUUUACUUUCCUGUGAGUAUCAUACUUAAACCGAAUGCAUUGACCUGCCUAUGUUUCCAUGUUGGAUUUGUAUAUUUUGGAUUCCAGGGUUACAAAUGUAUCGCUUAUUCCCGGAAAUGAAGCAGGCUCUUUGACUUCCCUAUAGGAACAGCAUGGCGCACAGGCGUCGCGUGUGAAGGCCCCUCAUAGCCGUGAUUUGUUGAUCUGUUUUUUUUCAGCUUCAGCAGCGCUCCGUGAAGUGACAACCACGUCCCUCAAAUUCACUCUUGACUGUGUUUUUAUUUUCAUAUGUCGUACUUCUUACCUAGGCCUUCAUAUCACAGUCAUCUAAACUGAGAACAGAUCAAGGCUGUGGCUCACCAAAGGUAAAAACUAACUGGGCAAAGCAAAGAAGGAGAAACAAUUUGAAAACUCAGAGAAUUCAACUUGUGACUCCUUCUUCGCUUUGCCCACCUUUGCUGUUCUUGACCGUUCUUUGGUUUAUGCCUUAUUAUCUCCUGCUUCCCAGUUUUAAGAUUCCCUAAACAAAAUUAAAAAAAAUAGUGUGUCGAGACAUUUCCUUUAAAGUGAUUAAAUCUGAGCAGCAUUAACUAAAUGCUUUAAUAGUUACAAUUUUAUAAAUUCACUUUGUCUUAGAAAAUCCAUGUGGCUUCCUGCUGACCAGAGUGUGGCCCCUGGAAUACCAAGAGGAGAGCCCAUGUUGUGAACAGGAUCAUGUUCUAAAGAUGAGAAGCCACGCUAUUACCAGCAGGUUGGAAGAUGAAUAAAGGCACCGUCGAGGCCUCUGAUGGACUAAACCUGCAUGUUCAGCACCCAAAUACAAAGUAAGGAAAAGGAAGCAUAUUCCACUAAGUUCUUGCAUGUUUCACUUUAUUUUAUUUUACAUACAAUGCUCCUACAAAACAUCAGUGUAAUUUAUUUUUGUGUUAAUUUAAUAACAUUUUUAAACCUAAUAUUUUAAUUACAAAAGACAUAGAUGUAGAAACACUGAUAAACAUAAUAAUAAUUUUAAAAAUCCAUUUGCCAUCUUUCCAUCCAAAAACAUUUACCUUGACUACUUAUUAGUACAUCUCCCCAGAUAACUUUCUAUAUAUUAUGCGCACGCAUAAAAUGGAAGCAAAUCCUUGAAUAACAGCUUUUAUAUUGUGUACCUUAAAUAUAUGUAUAUUGCACUGUGUGAUUCUAUGUUUGGGCUCUCUGUUCUGUUCCAUUGAUCUGUUCAUCUAUUAUUUUGCCAGUACCACAGUCUUCAUUACUGUAGCUUUAUAAUAAGUCUUGAAGUCAAACAGAGCAAGUCUUCUGACUUUGUUCUUCUUCAACACUCUUUUGGCAAGCUGGGUGUUUUGUCUCUCCAUAUAAUAGAAUCCAUUUGUUGAUGUCUAAAAAUUAACUUGCUGGCAUUUUGACUGGGAACAUAUUGAAUCUAUAGAUCAAGUUGAGAACAGCUGACAUCUUAACAACACUGAGUCUUCUUACCCACACAUGUGGAAUAUUUCUCCACUUAUUUACAUCUUCUUUGAUGUGUUUUAUCUGAGUUUCCUACUUUUAGCUCUUGUACAUAUUUUCAUCAGAUUUACACUUAAGUAUCAUUUUUGGGUGCUAAUAUAAGUGAUGUGUUUCUAAUUUUAAAUUUUAAUUGUUCAUUACUGGUAUAUGGCAAGCAAUUGACUUUUGUAUACUUCCUUUGUACCUUACAACCUCGGUACAAUCACUUAUUCAUUCCAGCUUUCUGUCAUUGAGUUUUUUUUUAACAGAGAUAAUCAUGUCAUCUAUGAACAAAGAGAGUCUUAUUUGUUCCUUUCCAAUCUGUAUAAUUUUUAUUUUUUGCUAAUUUUAUUAGCUAGAACUUUCAUUUUGAUGUUAAAUAGAAAUUUCGAGAGUAGAUAUCCUUGCCUUAUUUCUGAUCUUAGCACGAAAGCAUUCAAUUUUUCAUUAUUUAUUAAGAGGAGAGCUGUAGGUUUUAAUAGAUGUUCUAUGUCAGGUUGAGAAAGUUCUUCUUUAUAGCUAGUUUGCUGAGGUGUUUUAUCAUGAAUGGGUAUUGGAUUUUAUCAAAUUCUUUCACAUAUGAUUGUAUGAUUUUUCUUCUUUAGACUGUGGAAGUGGUAGAUUAUGUUAAUUGCUUUUUGAAUGUUGAGCCAACCUUUCAUACCUGAGACAAAUCUUAUUUGUUUAUUUGAAAUGAUAAUGACUGAGAAUUUUUCAAAAUUAAUGACUGACACUGGCAGGGCACAGUGGUUCAUGCCUGUAGUCCCAGCGCUUUGGGAGGUCGAGGUGGGAUGUUUCAGGCCAAGAGUUCAAGACCAGCCUGGGCAACAUAGCAAGACCUCAUCUCAAUAAGAAAUAAAACAAAAAGGCCAGGCGCGAUGGCUCACGCCUGUAAUCCCAGCACUUUGGGAGGCCGAGGUGGGUGGAUCAUGAGGUCAUGAGAUCGAGACCAUCCUGGCCAACAUGGUGAAACCCCGUCUCUACUAAAAAUACAAAAAUUAGCUGGGCAUGAUGGUGCGUGCCUGUAGUCCCAGCUACUUGGGAGGCUGAGGCAGGAGAAUCACUUGAACCCGGG
rnacentral:lncRNA from 1 species